rnacentral:tRNA from 1 species
AGAGGCGUGGCAGAGUGGUCGAUUGCGUUGGUCUUGAAAACCAAUGUACCGCGAGGUACCGGGGGUUCGAAUCCCUCCGCCUCUGCAA